rnacentral:misc_RNA from 1 species
UUUCCGUAGGUGAACCUGCGGAAGGAUCAUUACCGAGUGUUUGGAUGCCCCCUCGCGGGGUGUCCGUCCUCCCAUCCGUGUCUAUUUGUACCCUGUUGCUUCGGCGGGCCCGCCCUUCGUGGCCGCCGGGGGGCUUCCCUGCCCCCGGGCCCGCGCCGGCAGGAGACCUCAACCAUUGAACACUGUCUGAAGGUUGCAGUCUGAGUACCGAUACAGAAAAUCGUUAAAACUUUCAACGACGGGUCUCUUGGUUCCGGCAUCGAUGAAGAACGCAGC